CUGCCCCUGGGGAAGGAUCUCUUUCUGGAGCUCCCCUUUUUUGAGGAGCUUUUCCCUUUGAACCCAGCAUCUUCUGAUACAGGGUUUGAUUACACACAUCAAUUUUGGUGAGCCAACCAGGAGGUGUUCUGCCUGGCUGCAGGACCAGCUGAGAGUGAGGACUCCUUUGGCAUGCCCCAAGAUUUCUCAGAAGAACUCCCUCUCUCACCCAGUCACUGCGGGGGCAGACAAGAACCAUUAGCAGACCAGGAGUGAGAUGCGGCACAGCUGCAGAGCAAAUGUGGAACCCCAAUCUGCAGUUCUGUGCUCUCUGCGAGGGGAGCAGCCGGGGAUGGAUGAAGCAAAAGGUCUUAUGUAUAUGUGACUUAAGUGUUUAAAGUGCCAGAGGAGUGGAACCGUGAGGAAGGAGUAAAUGUCUGGUUUUCUUGGUUGUGUAAACCAUACUGGUUAUUGUCACUGUCUUUGUGAUUGUUAAGUAUUUGUGUUGUAAAAGUGUUAUUUGUGGAAUUCCAUUUCUUGUUUAAACUCUCCAAUAUUUAAGGUUGGCUGAAAUAGAAGGUUAUUAUAGGACAAGGGGUGUCUAAAGAGAUACUGAAAAGACCCCUUGGGUUGUAUUUUGGCUCACUGGAAAGACAUCACCCGUGAGCCAGGGGAAGCAUUGAAUAAGAAACUGGGAGCAUAAAUUAAAUAAUAGGACCAGUUUUUAUACCUGAAUAUUCUAAUUGUAAGACCAAGGCACAGGGUGUUUGUGGAAGUCCAAGAACUGUAUUGUUGGACUCAUGGGUCUUGAAGGGAGUGGGACAAACUGUUUUGAUGGUAUAUGGAAGUGUAAUUGAGGGUAAUAGUGGAAUUGUGGAAAAAAAAUGGCAAAAGGGUUAAGGUAAAACAGCGAGUUUGAGAUAUUAGAGCUUGUGAUCUGUGCCGGAUGAGGCAGAUGGGUGCCAGCACAAGAACACCCCCCACAGGGAUCUAGGAAACCCAGUAUCCCAGCGCUGGAAGCCUCUGGCAGGAGGGGUUGAGGUAAAACUGAAAUAUGUUAGUUAAGUGUUUAAAUUGUCUUCAGCCUGAGGAAGCCUUAGACACACUUCAGUGUUUUCAGUGCAAUAAGUGUCUUCUGUUAAAGCAGGAAGUUAUUUUUAAGCAUAUUGGGUGUAGGAGUGGAGUGCCCGGGAGAUCAGAAAUGGAAGGGGGACAAGGCAAAGAGGCCCCCUACCAGAAAAACCCCUUGGGAUGCAUUCUGUUACACUGGUGAGACAUUGCUGGGGAACCAGGGAGCACAAUGAGCAAAAAGACGCUCAUUAAAUAUUGUAAUCAGCAGUGGCUCCUGUAUAAAUUGGAGACAGGAGAAAUGGCCCAUUAAUGGCACUCUGAAUUAUAACAACCUUUCGCAAUUAAUGUUAUUCCUGAGAAGGGAAGGUAAAUGGGAUGAAGUGGCAUAUGCAGAUACGUUCUUUACCCUUAAAAAACACCCUAAAUAGCA